UACGGGGGGGGGCAAGCGUUGUUCGGAAUGACUGGGCGUAAAGGGCUCGUAGGCGGCCAACUAAGUCAGACGUGAAAUCCCUCGGCUCAACCGGGGAACUGCGUGUGAUACUGGCGGGCUUGAAUUCGGGAGAGGGAUGUGGAAUUCCAGGUGUAGCGGUGAAAUGCGUAGAUAUCUGGAGGAACACCGGUGGCGAAGGCGGCAUCCUGGACCGAGAUUGACGCUGAGGCGCGAAAGCUAGGGUAGCAAACGGG
rnacentral:rRNA from 1 species